rnacentral:rRNA from 1 species
UACGGAGGGGGCUAGCGUUGUUAAGAUUUACUGGGCGUAAAGGGCGCGUAGGCGGACCAUCAAGUCAGGGGUGAAAGACCUGGGCUCAACCCAGGAAUUGCCUUUGAAACUGAAGGUCUAGAGUCCGAGAGAGGUUAGCGGAAUUCCCAGUGUAGAGGUGAAAUUCGUAGAUAUUGGGAAGAACACCAGUGGCGAAGGCGGCUAUCUGGCUCGGUACUGACGCUGAGGCGCGAAAGCGUGGGGAGCAAACAGG